rnacentral:rRNA from 1 species
AUGCAAGUCGAACGAGAAAGUGGAGCAAUCCAUGAAGUAAAGUGGCGACCGGGUGAGUAACACGUGACUAACCUACCUUCGAGUGGGGGAUAACCUCGGGAAACCGAGGCUAAUACCGCAUAACAUCGCAAGAUCAAAGCAGCAAUGCGCUGGAAGAGGGGGUCGCGGCUGAUUAGCCAGUUGGCGGGGUAACGGCCCACCAAAGCGAAGAUCGGUAGCCGGCCUGAGAGGGCGCACGGCCACACUGGAACUGAAACACGGUCCAGACUCCUACGGGAGGCAGCAGUGGGGAAUUUUGCGCAAUGGGGGAAACCCUGACGCAGCAACGCCGCGUGGAGGAUGAAGCCCCUUGGGGCGUAAACUCCUUUCGACCAAGACGAUAAUGACGGUACUGGUGGAAGAAGCACCGGCUAACUCUGUGCCAGCAGCCGCGGUAAUACAGAGG